UAUAUAUAUAUAAUGAAAUUAGCUAAGAAAGUAGCUGUAUCAAUGUAGAAAACAUGCUAACUCAGCCAACUGAAUUGCCUGCUAUAAAGUUACGUAACUAGCUAGUGAUUCAGUUACAUUGGUGCUAGACUCUCGAGAGGCUACGCUAGCAAAAUAUUCCCUGAACGUUCUACCUUCGCAACCUCAACAGUGCGUGUCGGUGUGUGGGCCUACAUCAACCUGACGUAGUAUGUCCUACUGCCCAAAGAAAAAGAAGAAUGAUGACUCUGCACAGAGAUGUCUCUGUAAGAACCAGGGAGGACAAGAAGCCCAACGCUGUCCUGGAUUACAACAGGAAAAAAGGGGGAGUUGACAACAUUCAUAAGGUUACUGGCACAUGCGCUUGUAAGAGGAUGACGGCACGUUGGCCCAUGGUGGUGUUCUUCAACAUCCUAGAUGUAUCGGCCUACAAGGCAUUGGUGGUGUGGAUGGAGGUGAAUCCAGGCUGGAAGCAGGGGGAAUUCUUCAAGACUAUUGUUCUAAGAAUUGGGGAAACCCAUGGUGGCACCCCUCAUUCAAUGGCGCCAACACCUUCCUCGAACUUCCAACCUCUGCUGGAUUGGUGAGAGAUAUACAAAGGCCAUAGGCAAGAUCUACGGCCGCCAGAGACGAAAGGAAGAGGUGCAAUCUGUGCACUAAGAGAUGUCAAAACGGGCAUUAUGUUCCAGAAAUACAGUGCAUACAUUUGCAAGGCACAUGCAACAAUCAUCAUGUAUGGUCCAACUAAUCAGAUUAGCUCUGAAAUAUAUCUGAUGUAGUUGGCCAGUUUAUGGAAACAAUAUUAUACUUUAGGCUGUCUGUGUAAACCUUAAAUUGGUCACAGUAGUCAUAUUGAAACUUAGCAGUCAGAAAUUAUUUAAAUUGUUGUGCCAGCAUUCAUUUUCCCCAUAGAUUUUAAAUCCUUUGGAAUAUGUACAGUCGAGUGACAAGGAAAAAACUUGAUUUAAUGAGUGGAGGAACAUAAUGAAUGCAGAUGCUUACAGGUGCACGGCAUUAUACCACUAAGCAGUUAACAUCAUGCUCUUUGGCGUGUGUAAACAUGCUGAGCAAGCCCAGUUGACUUUGAUUUAGGAUCAAGAUGGCAUGAGCAAAGGAUCUAAAUGAUCUCAAAAGAGGGUUCAUCAUUGGACACAGAUGGCAGGAGCUUCAGUCACAAAGGCUGCUCAUCUGGCAAGUGUUUCAAUAGGUACUGUGACUGAAGUUAUUUAUGCAAUUAGGUUUAUUUGAAAGACAUCAGUAAAUAAGGUUGGAAAUUGUUGUUGAAAAACACAUUUGAUGACUGUGAUGCUUGUGCAUUACUGUGAUAUUUAAGGAAAAACAGAAGAGCAGCUCUUUCCCAGGUGACUGAGAAUGUCAACCCAGGACAUGAUCAGAUUGUGUCAGCAAGAACAGUCUGCUGAGAAAUACACAAACAGGGAUAUUAUAGUGGGGUUGUAGAGCAUAAACCCCUCAGUAAAUAGACAAAUGCACAUUUGAGAGCUCAGUGGUGCAAAAACCAUAGACACUGGUUUAUAGAGUGUGAAAAGGGGAUAUGGUCAGAUUAGUCAUCCUUUACAAACAAGUGGGCAAGUGCUUGUUUGGUGUACAACAAGAGAACUUUGUAGACCUGAUAGCUUGACCGCAGUGCAAGAUGGGUCACUAAGUGGUCACUAAUUGAUGAGUAUGAAAACGAUGUGAAUCAUAUGCUCCGCAGUCACCAGAUUUCAGCCCACUUGAAAACCUUUGUGAGAUUUUGGACAUACAUGUUAGGCAGUGCUCUCCACCACCAUCAUCAAAACAUUGUAGAAUCUAUGACAAGGCGCAUCUAUGACAACACCUCACUGAGGCACAGGGGGCCAGAGGGCACACACCACGAGACGGCACCUGACCCUCACUUCCAUCAGCCAUGGAAAUAAUCUCCACAUUCCAGAGCCAGCUAACAAGCGUGCACCGCAAGACACAAAAAGCUGGUUUGGUUCAGACAAUAUAGAGGGUCCACCCUGGAAAUACUGCCAGUCUGCAGACACAAAAGGAGGGCCAGAAAGGAAGGAGGACAGGAGGGAAUGAUGAUGUGUUAGGUUGCUAAGGUCUAAGACCCUCCGGGUUAACUCUUGGAACCGAGGCAGCUGACUGUUGUGUAUGGACCAAUAUGGGCAUUCCGGCCUCUCAGGACAGAUACAUUUCACUCAGGGCCAAAUUAUGGGCCUGGGCCCAGAGGCCUCUGACCAUUUGGAGCCUCGGGCUACAAGGCACCCCAAUAAUGGCCGAUACCAAGAUAUACUAAGACCCCUCCUCCAUUACCAAUACCAGGGUCCCUCCACAACCUAUACAGGAGCCCCUUGGUCCAACCAGAACCAAUGCCAGCGUGUUUUAGAUAUUCAGUCUAUUUAUUUAAAUAUAGUAUACACUGAUGAACCAAAACAUUGACCACCCACAGGUGAAGCGAAUAACAUUGAUAAUCUCCUCGGACACUGAAUUGCAUAAGGAGGUUUUUCAGUUGUUACAUGUAUGUCUCUACUUUGGGAACCUGAUAGCUGCUAUCCCAGUUGUAGUAGCAAUUUUGCACAACUGUUCAUCCCACUUGUAACAUACUUAGGCUAUACCAAUGGUUCAGAUUAGUAUGAUUUGGAAUAAUUAGUACAUUUCCUAACACCCGGAAAGUUAUGCUGAAAUUAUGCAGGAAGAAAAUUGUAGGCUACUGUUACAUUUAAAUAAAAAAAAUCCAAUCAAAUUAAAGCUGCUGUUUGAAAAUUGUGUGAGUGACAACUGUCAGUUUUGUCUAAUUUAGCUUGGCACUGAUCUAAUAAGUAAAUUUAUGGUUGUAGUUUCCCCCGAACAGAGCUAGCCUUCAGAUAGCUCUAAAUACAACAAAACCCAGGGAGAAAGCAGACUUGAGAUUGGCCAUACACGGACGUAAACGUGAAGAUUGGU
ensembl:lncRNA